CAAUCUUUUAGAAACAUAGGUAGUAGUAAUGAUUAUUAUUGCAAUUGAGUUGGACAAUUAUUGUGAAUUUUCAAGUAUCAUCCUGACAAGAAUGCAAAUGAUCCUAAGGCAGGGGAUAUGUUCAAAGAGGUCACAUUCUCUUACAACAUACUAUCAGAUCCUGAGAAAAGGCGUCAGUUUGACGCUGCUGGUUUUGAGGCUGUUGAUUCAGAAAGUCAAGAACUUGAGCUGGAUCUUUCAAGUUUGGGAACUGUAAAUACAAUGUUUGCAGCACUAUUUAGCAAACUUGGUGUGCCCAUAAAGACCACAGUCUCAGCAACAGGUUGGAAGAGGCAUUAAAUGGUAGAGUAUCUGUCUCACCUCUUACACUAGGCCAGCCUCUAUUUAGAAAGGUAGAAAAACAAUCUGCCCAUAUUUAUUCUGUCACAAUAACUGAGGACGCGCUGGGUGGACUUGUCUGCCGUGUGCAAUCAUCUGAUAAAAGCAAAUUUAAGGUUUGUGUUAUACUGCAGAAUAUUUUCAUUUAGCAUCUUAGUUCUCAGGUUUUGUGCUGGUCUAGGCUGACGUGUGAGUGUUUAAACUAGUCUGAUUGAAUCUCGAUGCCAUACCUAGCCUUGCCAAUGA